rnacentral:tRNA from 1 species
GCCUGGCUGGCUCAGUCGGUAGAGUAUGUAACUCUUGAUCUCAGGGGUGUGGGUUUGAGUCCCACGUUGAGUG